CCUACGGGUGGCAGCAGUGAGGAAUAUUGGUCAAUGGCCGAGAGGCUGAACCAGCCAAGUCGCGUGAGGGAAGACGGCCCUACGGGUUGUCAACCUCUUUUGUCGGGGAGCAAAGCGAGUCACGUGUGACUCAUUGAGAGUACCCGAAGAAACAGCAUCGGCUAACUCCGUGCCAGCAGCCGCGGGAAUACGUAGGGAGCAAGCGUUAUCCGGUUUUACUGGGUGUAAAGGGCGUGUAGGCGGGCUUGUAAGUCAGAAGUGAAAUCUGGGGGCUUAACCCCCAAACUGCUUUUGAAACUGCGGGUCUUGAGUGAUGGAGAGGCAGGCGGAAUUCCCAGUGUAGCGGUGAAAUGCGUAGAUAUUGGGAGGAACACCAGUGGCGAAGGCGGCCUGCUGGACAUUAACUGACGCUGAGGCGCGAAAGCGUGGGGAGCAAACAGGAUUAGAUACCCGUGUAGUC
rnacentral:rRNA from 1 species